GCUCCGUUGAGGUAGUAGGCAAUCCUAUCUGACUCUCCAUCCGAUUACAGGGUUCGAAUCCCCUACGGAGCA
rnacentral:tRNA from 1 species